GUCCAGGUUCAUUUCCGUAUACAGUAUGCGUCAUGUACCUAAGUGACCAAUGAAAAGUUGUGAAAUCAUGUCAUCUGAUUUUCAAGUAUAUCCAUUUGGUGUCAAAGCUGUCAAUCACGCCGCGUAUCUCCCGCUCUGUGGAGCCAUCUCAGCUGUCUCGUGUCAUCUCAUUAGCGUCUCUGGAAGCGCAUCAUCGGGUAGCUGAAUAACACUUUGAAGAUUCAGUUGAAAGUGACGGUGGAGAUACAGCUGCCAAUGAGGACUCACUUGAACACGAUCCUGAAAAUGACCCGGAUUACACACCUGUCAAUGAAGAUGCUGUUGCUGUUGACCGGGGAAGGUCAAGGAAGAGGGCCAACCCAGACGCUUGGAAGGGUAACAUCCAGAAAAGGAGAAGAAUGAGGGGCCAAUCAUAUCUUGGACGGAAAAAAAUGAAUUCAUCAACAAAGAAGAACGAAAAAUGGAGGGGCGGUGCCUGGCUGAGUCCUGCCAGAAAUCCAGCAAACUACACUGCACCGAAAUCGAUGAAGGGAAGAGGGAAGAAAUAUUCAAGUAUUUUUGGGGGAAAUUGGACUGGAAAGAAAGGAAAAUCUACGUGAAGUCACUGGCGGAGGUUAGUGAUGUCAAGCGGCGCCGGACAGAAGCGGUUCAG